rnacentral:lncRNA from 1 species
UAUUAUCCAGUGCUGUAAGGACGAGAUGCUUUCACCAGCAGCCGAGUGAGAUGAAAGCGCUUUUCCGAUCCACCGAAUCAGUCCCACUGCAACUGUAAGCUGGAGACCCUCUGGGCCUUGGGAGCUCAGGCUGCCUGGGCAACGCAAGGGAGGACAGGGGCGGAGGGGGAGCCAGGAGGGCCGCACCUGCCUCGCUCGCUGGUCGCCCUCGCUCUGGGAUCCGUCCUGCCGGUCCCAGGCUGUUGAGGGCGCCUCCUCAGAGUCCCUGUGGCCCCCGCAGCUUCCCCGGAAGAAACCCGUGCAUCCAUCGGCUAGCCCAAGCCCAAGCUCCUCCCGGAGCUCCCCGAGCCGGGGCCAGGCCUCCGCCCCUCGGUGCCCGCGCCUGGGCUCCUCCCGCUGCGGGCCGCCCGCCCGGACGCAAGGCACAGGGGGACGCCCCGCCGAGCCGCUGCCCACUGCACCGAGUUUUUCGGAGGCUGGGAGAGGAAAUGCCACUUGGAUUUUAAAACCGUCACCGAUACGCUAUAGCCCUGCUUUCUCUACCUCCAGUCGUUUUCUGAGGACCGGCUUGGUGGGUGCUGAUGCCUGCCUGGAAGACCUCACACCCACAGUGUCUUAGAAGAUUCUGAAAGCAGUGUGAGACCAGAAUGACCAGCAAAGGAGAAAAGAACAAGGACACAUUGCAGCCAAAAUGGAGCUAGAAUCUUGCCUCUGUCCAUCCUUCACUGGAGUUAUCCUGGAUGGAGAAGGAACCAUAUCACCUGCAAAGCCUGGAAGGGGAGCCCUGCUGUGAGGUCUUUCUCAGGUGAGGCCCCAGGCUGUGACCAGGCCCCUGCCCUGCAUGUGACUCAGGCCUAGCCCCUGCUGGGGCAGGAAUGCCACCCAGCACAGCAUCCUACUGGUGCCUGAAUAAAGAAUGGACUGGAGGUUCACCUGAAAGGGGCUGCCAGGUUUCUGCGGGGGCCAGCCAACGGCUCACAAUGACCCUGUGUUCGACUCAUCUUACGAUGAAAUUUUUCAGCUUGACGAACUUUUACUCAUCUUUCAAGGCUCGGCUCAAAUGUUAUUUCCCUGGGAAAACUGCGCUACUUUCAGCAAAAUGCAUUUCCUU